CAGUCGAACGGAGCUGCUUUGAUGAAGUUUUCGGAUGGAUUUAAAACAGCUUAGUCGCUAACGGGUGAGUAACGCGUGGGUAACCUGCCUCACACUGGGGGAUAACAGUUAGAAAUAGCUGCUAAUACCGCAUAAGCGCACGGUUCCGCAUGGAACAGUGUGAAAAACUCCGGUGGUGUGAGAUGGACCCGCGUCUGAUUAGCCAGUUGGCGGGGUAACGGCCCACCAAAGCGACGAUCAGUAGCCGGCCUGAGAGGGUGAACGGCCACAUUGGGACUGAGACACGGCCCAAACUCCUACGGGAGGCAGCAGUGGGGAAUAUUGCACAAUGGGGGAAACCCUGAUGCAGCAACGCCGCGUGAGUGAAGAAGUAUUUCGGUAUGUAAAGCUCUAUCAGCAGGAAAGAAAAUGACGGUACCUGACUAAGAAGCCCCGGCUAACUACGUGCCAGCAGCCGCGGUAAUACGUAGGGGGCAAGCGUUAUCCGGAUUUACUGGGUGUAAAGGGAGCGUAGACGGUUUUGCAAGUCUGAAGUGAAAGCCCGGGGCUUAACCCCGGGACUGCUUUGGAAACUGUAGAACUAGAGUGCAGGAGAGGUAAGUGGAAUUCCUAGUGUAGCGGUGAAAUGCGUAGAUAUUAGGAGGAACACCAGUGGCGAAGGCGGCUUACUG
rnacentral:rRNA from 1 species